rnacentral:rRNA from 1 species
GACGUAGGGCGCGAGCGUUGUCCGGAUUUAUUGGGCGUAAAGAGCUCGUAGGCGGCUCGUUGCGUCGGCUGUGAAAACCCGCAGCUCAACUGUGGGCUUGCAGCCGAUACGGGCGGGCUUGAGUUCGGUAGGGGAGACUGGAAUUCCUGGUGUAGCGGUGAAAUGCGCAGAUAUCAGGAGGAACACCGGUGGCGAAGGCGGGUCUCUGGGCCGAAACUGACGCUGAGGAGCGAAAGCGUGGGGGAGCGAACAGG